rnacentral:rRNA from 1 species
UACAGGGGGUGCAAACGUUGCUCGGAAUCAUUGGGCGUAAAGCGCACGUAGGCGGUUUGUUAUGUCGGAUGUGAAAGCCUUGGCUCAACUGGGGAGGGUCAUUCGAAACUGGUCGACUCGAAGGCAGGAGAGGGUAGUGGAAUUCCCGGUGUAGUGGUGAAAUGCGUAGAUAUCGGGAGGAACACCAGUGGCGAAGGCGACUACCUGGCCUGUUCUUGACGCUGAGGCGCGAAAGCUAGGGGAGCAAACGGG